GUUUAUAAAUUCAUCAUUAACCCCAAGGGAUAGAACGCGCCGCCUCCCAGUAAGUCUGAACGUGGCUGUGGUUUCAUAUAAUCUUACAACACAGAUGGAUGCUAUGAAACCUGUUGCGAAACAGCUAGAGAAAGAAGACGACGACGACGACGACGAUGAAGAUGAAGGAAGCAUCACGCAUCAUGAAGAUGCAGUCCUUCCGUCGAAUCAGUAAUUAACCAAAACAAAAUAAUCUUGCUUCUUUUCUCUUUGGUGACCCUCCUAUUCAGCGAUCUCCUCCUUAUAGGCAUCAACCGUAACCUCCGGUGACCACAACCCAGGAAAUACCAACUCCGGAGAAGCCUUGUCGAUGUCCUUAUUCGUUAGUGUCGACAUUCUGGUGGGUGUUUCCCACUCCGCCAAUCGAUGCCUUACACGCUGACCUUCUGGUUCUCAGAUUCCAUGGCCUCACCUCUUCAGCCGCUGCAGGGGAUUCUUCUACUUCCUUCUUCUUGCUGGCUCUGUCAUCGAGGUUUAUCAUUAUCAGUAUGUUUGAACUUUCAAAUGUUUGGGUAUCAACAGACCAACUUGUUAACUUCAAGAAUAAUUUUCGGUAGCGGAGAGGGUUGCCAAAAAGGAGUUGGAUUCUGCUUUUGCAGUCGUUAGACCUCCAAGGCAUCAUGCCAAAGAAGAUGAAGCUAUGGGGUUCUGUUUAUUUAACAAUGCGGUUAUUGCAACACAUUUUCUGUUAAAUGAAAGAAUUCUCUCCUACAAGGCCAGUAAUUCAUGGACAUAUGCAAACGCAAUUACUUUUCACAACUAGAGUGAUGUCUAUCUGUCUGUCUGGCCAUCCAAGAAACAUAUGCAGAUUAUUAUAGUCCUUCUCGGUAGAAUGCCGAAUGUACGUACAGCCCACUUUCUCAUGUCUAAUUUGCGGACUUCAGGAGACUUUUCUUGUAUGAAGAUGUUGGGUGAACAAGUGAUGUACUCGUCUCAGAAGGAAUACGUCAACAUAGAAUAUGAAGAUAGACUAAGCAGCUUACCAGAAGAUCUUCGCAAGCGUAUUAUGUGUGUGCUCCGUAUACAAUAUUCAGUAAGAACUUGCAGAUUGUCCAAAAAGUUGAGAUACACCUAUGAGUCUCUUCCUACUCUUUUAUUUGAUUCCUUCCAAUUUGCUACUGCUGAAAGUGGACCUGACAGUUUUGUGGAAUUCAUAGACCAGAUGUUAUUGCAUCAUGAUGAUUCAGAUAUAGCAGCCAUCAAAUUAAAAUUAUGUAGAGGAAGAGCACUCAUCAUCUUAAAGGCCGAAUGGAUUGAUUUUGCUUUGAAGCAUAGUGUUGAAGACCUUGUUGUUGAAGGUCUUUUUUUGGGAACAAAGAGGGUUUGGCUUGUGUCUUUUCAUCCAGAACAUUGAGAAGAUUUUCUUUUUCCAUGGAAUGCUAUAGUCUCAGAUUGCGCUCAUCCAUUUAUCAUCCCAGUCUUAAAGAGUUGUGUCUGGGCGGUGUCAUUUUUUACCGGUGAGGAGGAUUUGUCAGGGGAGUUAUUCUCAUCGUGUCCAGUUUUGGAAUCUGUGCAAUUGUGGAAUUGCAAUCUGUCUUUUCUGAAGGUUUUGAAUGUUUCUGCUCUCAUACUCAAACACCUUGAAAUAGACAAUUGUGGCGAGCUCGAAAACAUUGAGAUCAAUCUCCUUAUGCCAAGUCUUACAUCAAUUAUAUGCAGAGGAAAUCUUGCGCAAAACUAUCACACCCUUCUCUACGUUAUGCAGAUAUUCAAGUCGGAGAAGUUUACAUAGAUCAAAUGAGUAUAGAGAUUCUUAGCUGCACUGCGUUAAAGUUGCUUACUGAACUCCGUAAUGUUAUUGUACUGGCUGUGAUAAUUUGUUGUGGGAGCUUCUCUUCUACCAGGCCAGUAAUGCAUGGACAUGCAAAUGCAAUUACUUUUUUCAACAAUAGCAAUGUCUAUCUGUCUAUUUGGCCGUCCAAAAAACAUGUACAGAUGAUUAUAAUCUUUCUCAGUAGAAUGCCGAAUGCACAACGUAGACUAAACAGCUUACCAGAAGAUCUUCGCAAGCAUAUUAUGUGUACGCCUAUACAUUGCGCAGCAUGAACUUGCAGUUUGUCCAAAAAGUGGAGGUACACCUAUGAGUAUCUUCCUAUUCUUGUAUUUGAUUCCUUCCAAUUUGCUGCUGCUGAAAGUGGUUGGGUUACAUUCUUUUCUUAGCAAUGCCAUAAGGCAACGUCAUUGCCAAGGGCCAAUUAUUGGUUCCUGCUAGUGGUUUGUGAAACUGGAAGAUUCAAUUCGUGGUUGGCUACCUUUUAUGUGUUUUGAUCCUGGGGAGUAGACAAUCGUAUGUUGAUUAGCUAUCUCUUUAGGGAUUUUUAUUUUCUUGCGGUGGAAUGCUUAGGUACAUAGAAAAGGAAAAGGUUUGUUAGGGGAGGGAAAAGAUUUAGGUUUGGAAAGGUAUUAGUGGAGAGAAAAAACAUGAGUCUCAUUUCCCUUGCUUAUUUUUUGGGUGUUGUGGAAAGAGAGGAACAUUGAGUUUUUAAAUUAUGAGUCAUCCUCUUUAUAUGAUUGGGAGGAUUUUGGAGACUAUUGAUAUUUUUUUUGAUUGACAUGGAAAUAUUUUUUUAUAUAUAGGUCGACAUCACCUUGGUGAUUGUAAAUUAA